UCCGGAGGCCACUCCCCGAAUCCGAUAUCAACCGCGUCACUAAGCAUGAGAUGCCCUCGCCAUAUCACCCCCGGAGACAGGGAAAGUGAGAGAGAGAGAGGGUGGAAAUGGUGGAUUCUUAGUUAGCUCUUCGUUCCCGGCCGUCACUGCUCGUCGACCUCCUCGUUCUACUCUGCUUCUCUCUGUCCGUGGCGACGGCGUCGGAUCCGGACGCGACGGUGACCGUCGGAGGGAUCAGCGGCGCGGAGGGGGCUCCGGUCGGCGCCGAGAUCGAGCAGCUUGCCCGCUUCGCCGUCGACGAAGACAACAAGAAGCAUGUCCUUGUUUGAUCUCUUCUUCGCCUUUUCGCCUCUGUUGCGGUUAUUGGAUCGUCUUCGAACUCCUUUUCGUUCUGUCGCUGGAUUCUCUGCGUCAUCUUUAAGGUGAUUGUAUGAAUUCCAAGAAUGCCCUGUUGGAGUUCGCGCGUGUGGUCAAGGCGAGGGAGCAGGUGGUUGUGGGGACUCUUCACCACCUGACCAUCGAGGUCAUCGACGCCGGGAAGAAGAAGAUAUACGAGGCCAAGGUGUGGAUCAAGCCAUGGCUCAACUUCAAGGAGCUGCAGGAGUUCAGGCAUGCCGGCGACUCCUAAGGAUCCUGGCCUCGAGUGAGGCAAUGUCACGCCAUGAGACUGCAGUCUACAUGCUGUUAGGCUUCUUUUUAUUCUAUGUAUGAGGUAAUAUGAGGGUCUGAGACGAUAAAUUAUUUGCAAGUAAGCAUUUUUUUUCCUGUGUA